rnacentral:rRNA from 1 species
AGAGGUUGAAUUAUACAUAUUAAGGUAAAAAGGCAGUUAGAUACAUAAACUAGUUUAUUAAUUUUUUUAUAUAAAAGUAAAAUUUGAAUAUAAAUGAAUAAUUUAAUUUAAACUAAUUAGAUUGACUCUGCGAUAUCCUUGAGGGAAACUGGGAUUAGAUACCCCAUUAUUCAUGGUUGUAAAUUAAUUGAAAUUUACCCGAGUACUACGAAUUUUAUGACAAAAUUUAAAACUCAAAGGGCUUGGCGGUGUUUUAGACCUCUCAGGGGAACCUGUCUCAUAAUCGACAGUCCACGUUAUACCUGACCUUUUUUUGCAUUCAGUCUGUAUACCGUUGUCGUCAGGUAACUUUUAAAAAAUUAGAAGUUAGCAACAAAAUUACUGUAAAUUAAAACGUCAAAUCAAGGUGCAGCUUAUGAAAAGGCGAGGAUGGGUUACAAUUAAAAAUUAUAAUACGAAUAGACUAGUGAAAUAUUUUCAUGAAGGAGGACUUGAAAGUAAAAUAAAUUAUAUAAAUGGUUUGAAUAAGGCUCUGAAACAUGC